AGGAUGAGCUUUGUAAUGGCGGUGACAUUGAUAAGCACACCUACUAGCAUGAGCAGAAAGCAAUCGUAUGGAGAAGGAUGGCUUGAUGGUGGUGAAUGCUACUGGGUUAAAUACUUCAAAUACAGUAUUUACAAUAUGAAUUGCAUUGGGCGAGGUUUUUCAAGUAGACCGACCUGAUGCAUUGAAACUACUGGGAUCUGAAAGAUAGAUCAUUCAAAUCUCUCAAAGGGUGACAUGGUACAGAAGCUGAUAUAUCAGAUAUACAAGAACCCUCAUCCAAAUAUUGUUCUUUUAACAGUUGGAGCAGGUGAUAUAACAAUUGUAGGCUCAAAGCUGUCCAAACUGGAGAUAGAAAAUAUGGUAACCCCAUCAGUGACCAAGUCUUUGCAUGAUGAAGAUUUGGUUGGAUGGAGAUGUCAACUAGAACAAAAGAAGGCAGUUUUGGAAGUAGUUUGGGGGGAAACAAAAG